UAAUCAUGGCGCACUCUGAUCAUCUACAAGCUCCUGGCCUUGUUAAUUCACCACCGCGGCAGGCGGCGGAGGGUUAUGUGCAUUUGAGUGCACCAUCACCAAUUGGCUAUAUCACCAAGGCUGAUACUGCUGGGUGCCCCCACCAUCAUCACCCUUUCGAAAAUAGAAGCAAGGGUAAUGACUUGUGGAAACGAUGUUUUGCUGCCUUCUGUUGCUGCUGGUUAGAUCAAUUCAGGUCGUUAAUUUUUAUAAUUUGUAUUGAUCGUCCACUAAAACAAAAAAGCAAAUGUAAUUGUGUACGUGUAGAUAUGUGAUUACUUUGAAAAGUUCAUUACAGCAUAUGCAAAAAUCUAUUAUUUACAUCCCUUAUUCCAAACAAAACAAUUGCAAACAUAUCCUACUUAUAUUUGGCCAAUUUUAUUUAUUUUUUCGAAAA